AUGGCUUGAACACUCCUGGGCAGUCACUCUCCCCAGCUCUGUCCAGCUGACGUGAGGGAGCACAGGGCUCUACCCAUGAUAAACAGUCCUUGUCCACAGCAUCGGAGAUUACAGGCGCCUUAGGCCUGGACCUGCACAUUCCAGCAGCUCCUCAGAGUCCCGUGGAUGGGGCCUGAGAGGCUAACCAAACAGGAAACACCC
rnacentral:snoRNA from 1 species